AACGUAGGGUGCAAGCGUUGUCCGGAAUUACUGGGUGUAAAGGGAGCGCAGGCGGGAAGGUAAGUUGGAUGUUGAAUCUACGGGCUCAACCCGGAUCAGCAUUCAAAACUAUUUUUCUUGAGUAGUGCAGAGGUAGGCGGAAUUCCCGGUGUAGCGGUGGAAUGCGUAGAUAUCGGGAGGAACACCAGUGGCGAAGGCGGCCUACUGGGCACUAACUGACGCUGAGGCUCGAAAGCAUGGGUAGCAAACAGGAUUAGCUACCCUGGUAGUCCAUGCCGUAAACGAUGAUUACUAGGUGUGGGCGGAUUGACCCCUUCCGUGCCGCAGUUAACACAAUAAGUAAUCCACCUGGGGAGUACGACCGCAAGGUUGAA
rnacentral:rRNA from 1 species